rnacentral:rRNA from 1 species
UACGUAGGUGGCAAGCGUUGUCCGGAAUUAUUGGGCGUAAAGCGCGUGCAGGCGGUCCUUUAAGUUUGAUGUGAAAGCCCACGGCUCAACCGUGGAGGGUCAUUGGAAACUGGGGGACUUGAGUGCAGAAGAGGAAAGCGGAAUUCCACGUGUAGCGGUGAAAUGCGUAGAGAUGUGGAGGAACACCAGUGGCGAAGGCGGCUUUCUGGUCUGUAACUGACGCUGAGGCGCGAAAGCGUGGGGAGCAAACAGG